rnacentral:rRNA from 1 species
GUGGGGAAUAUUGGACAAUGGGCGCAAGCCUGAUCCAGCCAUGCCGCGUGAGUGAUGAAGGCCCUAGGGUUGUAAAGCUCUUUCACCGGUGAAGAUAAUGACGGUAACCGGAGAAGAAGCCCCGGCUAACUUCGUGCCAGCAGCCGCGGUAAUACGAAGGGGGCUAGCGUUGUUCGGAAUUACUGGGCGUAAAGCGCACGUAGGCGGGUAUUUAAGUCAGGGGUGAAAUCCCGGAGCUCAACUCCGGAACUGCCUUUGAUACUGGCAAGCUAGAGUCCGGAAGAGGUAAGUGGAACUCCUAGUGUAGAGGUGGAAUUCGUAGAUAUUAGGAAGAACACCAGUGGCGAAGGCGGCUUACUGGUCCGGAACUGACGCUGAGGUGCGAAAGCGUGGGGAGCAAACAGGAUUAGAAACCCCAGUAGUCC